UGUGCUGUUAACCUUUUAGUCUUUAAAAUGACAUGAGACACUGAUAAAAGAAAGCAACCACUGCAAGAAAACAACCACUGUGGAAGCUAUCAAUUAGGCAACGUGAACUUUACAUAAGACAGCUUCACACAGUUCAGUGUGUGUGGGCAGGGUGAAAUCAACCAAACAAUACUGCUGUGUCUUCUUCUUAUUUGCUGGAUUCAUGGGUAUCCUGUUGACAACUUUCUCAGAAACGCUGUGAAAAUAUUUAUAACAUGGAAUACUUGGAUCUACAAUGGCUUAAGGACUGAUGAGAGCUGUGGUCCAAAGACAUCUGGAGCGCCAGAGUUGUCCACACCUGUGCUAAAGGAUGUUCUUGCAAGAUUUCUCUUUCCCUGGGAAAGCUCACCGUGAAAGCUUUUGUUUCAGCCACAUGCGCAGGUGGGAGAUGGACUCUUAAACAAACAGCAAUAUCCACCAGACACCCAGGACUCUUUCUGCUUGGCUUCAGAGAGUAAUAAACUCCUCUCCGCAUGGGGAAAUCUGAAAGAGCUGCUAUCAUAUUUCCAUAGUGACCCAUAAAUAAGUCGACCUGGGAUUUUGGGGUCAAUUUUGGGGCAUAAAUUUUUAGACUUACAGAUGAGUAUAUACGGUAAGUAAAAAAUGAUUAAAAGAGUGAGUCUGAUUUGUUUUGAGGAAAUGGAAUUGUUUUGGCUUCCUCGUUGAAAACUGUCUGAGUAACAACAUAGCUUAAUAACCAGGCUGUAUCACUGCUACCUUUUAGCAGAGGAGUCACUGUGUAGAGAAAGGUUACGUCUUCACAUCCCAAAAUCUGGUUUAAAAGAUGCAACCCUGGAAUGAGGAUCCUGAUUCAGCAAUAUGGCAAGAGAUUCACCAGGAACUUAAACUGAUGACCAGCAACUUUAAGAAUUAUACAAUGAGAUUUAGACUGAAAUUUGGAUUGGAGGAGGAGACUGACGAUGGGGAAAUGGAAUUUUCAGAGGAGAAAAUGGAUGAAGGAAGGAGCCCACGAAUGAAAGAGCAAUGGGGUGUCUCAGGGAUUUGUGAUCAGAGUGAGGGGUUUUUGAAGACCCAGAGGUGAUCUUGAAGAAGAAUGCAGAUGACAUGCAAAACAAUGCAGAAGGAAGGAGCAGCAAGGAUUGUGAAGAGGAUGGGAGAACAUGAGGGGAGGUAGAGAGGGAUGAUCAGAUUAAGAAUGUUUUCUUUGGAGAUAUAUUUUCCCCCAGGUCUGGCUAACCAAAUGAAAUGUUCCCACUCUGUUCAACUAAGAGAUUUGGUAAAAUGCUAAGGGUAAAAUUCAAGUAGGACAGAAAGAAAUAAAGCUGGCUUUGUUGGAUUUAAGAUGUUAAUAUGGUUCUCGUUAUAUGAUGUUGUUUUAAGAUUUCAAUAAGGGUUUCAUUAUUUGUGGUUAAUGUAAAGAAAUAGGUCAUAAAACAAAGCCUGUUGGUUUAAGUAGAUAUUUACAAAGGCCACCAAGAUUGAUCUAUAUGGGUUUUGAGGGUUUAAAUUCCUAGAAGGGAUAAGCAUCUGAGCAGAGAUGUAUAAAAAAGCAAGUAAGGAAACCUAUAGAAAAUAGAAAAUAACAAUUUUAAAGGAGGUGAGAUUUGAAUUAAAAAUAAAGGAAUGAAUCUAAUUUUCUUUUUCUUUUUCUUUGGGAUUGGCUGGGGGACAGAGCUGAUUUAGUUGAAAGGCAGACUAAUAGCAAUACAUAAUAACGCUUAUUAUUACUUAAUAAUACAGUGGGCCCUUGAUAUCUACUGGGGUUUGGUGCCAGGACCUCCUGUGGAUGCAUCCAAAAUCUGUGAAUGCUCAAAUCCCAUUAAACACAGUGGCAUAAUAAAAUGAUGU